rnacentral:RNase_MRP_RNA from 15 species
AAGCACGGCUUCGCAGCGCACAGACAGGAAGAUGUCUCCCAAGCAUGUUGUGAGGAAAGUCCCCGUGCCUCUGGGUACAGAGUGCCAGCAGGAGACUGCGAGAUGUCGUAUUGUUCAUUGUCAGCGACGCUUUCAUGCCGAGGUGCAGUGGCGAGGCGUCAUCUUUCACAGCAGCACAGCCAUGUCGUGAGCGUUCGAGCGAGGACGCCAACUGAACGAGGCUCAUUCUC